UGUUUUUUUUCAAUGGUGACUAAGGUUUCUCUUGCGGAUCGAGGAAGAAGAUAAUAGGACGUGGCUAAUUAGAUUCAAUUGGGUUCAAUGCGUGUGUGGCCAAAUUGGGGAUUGUGCUUGAAGAUUGUGGGCGGAUGGAAUUAGGUUAGGACCCAAAGUUUGUUUGGGUUUGGACGUGAUGGGUUGUUGGCGUGAAUUGGGAUUAGGAGUCCUAAUGGAACUACGACUUAGGGGAUAUGUGGCAUGAUAAAGGGAAGAUAACUAGGGAUGUGGGGGAAGA
rnacentral:lncRNA from 1 species